UAUCCCCAGCUGAGCCGCGACAUGGUCCCUCGGAGUGGCACGCUCUGCAAAAUGUGGCCGGGCACAGAGCGGGGAGGAAGCCGCGCGGGCUGGAGCAAGGUUAGGGCGGGGACGGGGACGCAGGGCGCAGCGGGCACGAGGCGAACCUCGAACCCCAGGACCGGGGCGCUCCGGACCCCGUCCUCCGGGGGUCAGAGAGACGGGCAUCUGUUUUGUCAAGACCAGGCCCCUUGUCUCAUCUCACAACAAGAAAGAGCCACGAGGCCCGACGCAGCCGAGGUGCGCAGCGCCACCUCCUGGGAGCGCGGGUACAGCCGGGCAGGAGGCGCGAAGGAGGACGAAGACUCGGGCGACGGUCUUCACGGCUCGCGUGACUCUGAAACGCCGCGGAGGGUCUUCUGCCUACCUACUCACCAGGAACAGUCGGGAAGUUGGGGCAGCUCGCUAAAGACCGGGGGACGUCGGCAAUUCCGCCUAAGACAAUGGCCAAGAACAAAUUAAGAGGGCAGAAGUCCAGGAAUGUAUUUCACAUAGCCAGCCAAAAGAACUUUAAGUCCAAAAACAAAGCAAAACCAGUCACCACUAAUCUUAAAAAGAUAAACAUUGUAAAUGAUG